rnacentral:rRNA from 1 species
AGUGAACGCUGGCGGUAGGCCUAACACAUGCAAGUCGAACGGUAACAGGUCUUCGGAUGCUGACGAGUGGCGAACGGGUGAGUAAUACAUCGGAACGUGCCUAGUAGUGGGGGAUAACUACUCGAGAGAGUGGCUAAUACCGCAUGAGAUCUACGGAUGAAAGCAGGGGAUCGCAAGACCUUGUGCUACUAGAGCGGCCGAUGGCAGAUUAGGUAGUUGGUGGGAUAAAAGCUUACCAAGCCGACGAUCUGUAGCUGGUCUGAGAGGACGAUCAGCCACACUGGGACUGAGACACGGCCCAGACUCCUACGGGAGGCAGCAGUGGGGAAUUUUGGACAAUGGGCGCAAGCCUGAUCCAGCAAUGCCGCGUGCAGGAUGAAGGCCUUCGGGUUGUAAACUGCUUUUGUACGGAACGAAAAGCCCUGGGUUAAUACCCUGGGGUCAUGACUGUACCGCAAGAAUAAGCACCGGCUAACUACGUGCCAGCAGCCGCCGUAA